rnacentral:rRNA from 1 species
GCAAGUCGAACGAUGAUGCCCAGCUUGCUGGGUGGAUUAGUGGCGAACGGGUGAGUAACACGUGAGUAACCUGCCCCUGACUCUGGGAUAAGCGUUGGAAACGACGUCUAAUACUGGAUAUGAUCACUGGCCGCAUGGUCUGGUGGUGGAAAGAUUUUUUGGUUGGGGAUGGACUCGCGGCCUAUCAGCUUGUUGGUGAGGUAAUGGCUCACCAAGGCGACGACGGGUAGCCGGCCUGAGAGGGUGACCGGCCACACUGGGACUGAGACACGGCCCAGACUCCUACGGGAGGCAGCAGUGGGGAAUAUUGCACAAUGGGCGAAAGCCUGAUGCAGCAACGCCGCGUGAGGGAUGACGGCCUUCGGGUUGUAAACCUCUUUUAGUAGGGAAGAAGCGAAAGUGACGGUACCUGCAGAAAAAGCACCGGCUAACUACGUGCCAGCAGCCGCGGUAAUACGUAGGGUGCAAGCGUUGUCCGGAAUUAUUGGGCGUAAAGAGCUCGUAGGCGGUUUGUCGCGUCUGCUGUGAAAUCCCGAGGCUCAACCUCGGGCUUGCAGUGGGUACGGGCAGACUAGAGUGCGGUAGGGGAGAUUGGAAUUCCUGGUGUAGCGGUGGAAUGCGCAGAUAUCAGGAGGAACACCGAUGGCGAAGGCAGAUCUCUGGGCCGUAACUGACGCUGAGGAGCGAAAGCAUGGGGAGCGAACAGGAUUAGAUACCCUGGUAGUCCAUGCCGUAAACGUUGGGCGCUAGAUGUAGGGACCUUUCCACGGUUUCUGUGUCGUAGCUAACGCAUUAAGCGCCCCGCCUGGGGAGUACGGCCGCAAGGCUAAAACUCAAAGGAAUUGACGGGGGCCCGCACAAGCGGCGGAGCAUGCGGAUUAAUUCGAUGCAACGCGAAGAACCUUACCAAGGCUUGACAUACACCGGAAACGGCCAGAGAUGGUCGCCCCCUUGUGGUCGGUGUACAGGUGGUGCAUGGUUGUCGUCAGCUCGUGUCGUGAGAUGUUGGGUUAAGUCCCGCAACGAGCGCAACCCUCGUUCUAUGUUGCCAGCGGGUUAUGCCGGGGACUCAUAGGAGACUGCCGGGGUCAACUCGGAGGAAGGUGGGGAUGACGUCAAAUCAUCAUGCCCCUUAUGUCUUGGGCUUCACGCAUGCUACAAUGGCCGGUACAAAGGGCUGCGAUACCGUAAGGUGGAGCGAAUCCCAAAAAGCCGGUCUCAGUUCGGAUUGAGGUCUGCAACUCGACCUCAUGAAGUCGGAGUCGCUAGUAAUCGCAGAUCAGCAACGCUGCGGUGAAUACGUUCCCGGGCCUUGUACACACCGCCCGUCAAGUCAUGAAAGUCGGUAACACCCGAAGCCGGUGGCCUAACCC